CAGUAGCCACGGGAAUACAGAGGUCUCAAGCGUUGUUCGGAUUCAUUGGGCGUAAAGGGAGCGUAGGCGGUCGGGUAAGUUGGAUGUGAAAUCCUGGGGCUCAACCUCAGAACUGCAUUCAAUACUGCUUGGCUAGAGUACUGGAGAGGUGAGUGGAAUUCACGGUGCAGCAGUGAAAUGCGUAGAUAUCGUGAGGAAGACCAGCGGCGAAGGCGGCUCACUGGACAGUUACUGACGCUGAUGCUCGAAGGCCAGGGGAGCAAACGGGAUUAGAGACCCCAGUAGUCCCUGUCUCUUAUAC
rnacentral:rRNA from 1 species